rnacentral:rRNA from 1 species
CCUACGGGAGGCAGCAGUGGGGAAUUUUGGACAAUGGGCGCAAGCCUGAUCCAGCCAUUCCGCGUGCAGGACGAAGGCCUUCGGGUUGUAAACUGCUUUUGUACAGAACGAAAAGCUCUGGGUUAAUACCCUGGGGUCAUGACGGUACUGUAAGAAUAAGCACCGGCUAACUACGUGCCAGCAGCCGCGGUAAUACGUAGGGUGCGAGCGUUAAUCGGAAUUACUGGGCGUAAAGCGUGCGCAGGCGGUUAUGUAAGACAGAGGUGAAAUCCCCGGGCUCAACCUGGGAACUGCCUUUGUGACUGCAUAGCUAGAGUACGGCAGAGGGGGAUGGAAUUCCGCGUGUAGCAGUGAAAUGCGUAGAUAUGCGGAGGAACACCGAUGGCGAAGGCAAUCCCCUGGGCCUGUACUGACGCUCAUGCACGAAAGCGUGGGGAGCAAACAGGAUUAGAUACCCCUGUAGUC